rnacentral:rRNA from 1 species
AUUGAACGCUGGCGGCAGGCCUAACACAUGCAAGUCGAACGAGUGGCGGACGGGUGAGUAAUUUCUGGGAAACUGCCUGAUGGAGGGGGAUAACUACUGGAAACGGUAGCUAAUACCGCAUACCAUCGGAUGUUCCCAGAUGGGAUUAGCUAGUAGUUGGGGUAACGGCUCACCUAGGCGACGAUCCCUAGCUGGUCUGAGAGGAUGAACAGCCACACUGGAACUGAGACACGGGCCAGACUCCUACGGGAGGCAGCAGUGGGGAAUAGUGCACAAUGGGCGCAAGCCUGAGACAGCCAUGCCGCGGGUAUGAAGAAGGCCUUCGGGUUGUAAAGUACUUUCAGCGGGGAGGCGUUACCCGAAGAAGAAGAACCGGCUAACUCCGUGCCAGCCGCCGCGGUAAUUA